UUCGUCCUCGUCGUACUCGGUCGGGAUGCCGGAGUCGAGCGAGUUGUAGCGCAAUGCGCAUUCGAUGUCGUCCAGCCUGUACUCCGGUUCCUCUUCCACGCAACCUAAGACUGAUAGUUAUAUAUUACACCACCAUGACCUUAACACUCGCAGUGCGUUUAUCGAGUGCAAAUCGCGAUUACCGAUAUUUGCGCGCGAACAUAAACGACUCACACACGUCACACGUGCCACCAGUGCAGCAGUAUCUCUUGUUCGAGACUAGACAGCGGAUCGUCAACGAACACUCGUCCCCUCCUGCGUUCGUGGUACGACGUGUCGGCUGCUGCAAAGUUCAUCAUGGCUGGCGGCUCUGCGGCGGGCGGAGUAAAAACAAAUCACAUCAAAUCAAUUGAAUGGGAAGAAAGUGUGCCGGGUGUGUAAUUACAUCGCGGUCGUGACCAACCACGCGGAACGCUGCUGCUGCAGCAGUUAUAACAGCAACAAUACAAUAAUAUACUUAUCAAAAGAAAAACUAACUGCGGUGAAGAAAAAUUACGGAUGCAUAAUGAGACUUUGAAAUCGUUAACGAUUUUUAAACUAUUCUUAUGAUAUAGAUAAUAGCCAUAAUAGAAAUAGGUGUUUUCUUCGCGUUCCGCGUGGGCGGAGUACUACGCCGUUAUAAUUAUCGUACAUAGGUAGGUACAGCCGUAGAAUAAUACAAUAACACAACACGACAAUAGUGACGGUCGACAAUAAAUAAUGCCACAUAUUAUAUAGGCAGUCGUUAUAAAAGCAUUAUGCGAAUAAUAUGUAUUAUUAUAUACAUAAUGUCAGUCAAUGCGUACAGUCAUACUGCAGAACUCCAGAAGUCGUGAUUUGGUACUUUCGGUUUACAUUAUCAACACUUCAC